rnacentral:rRNA from 1 species
AACGAACGCUGGCGGCGUGCCUAACACAUGCAAGUCGAACGGGAAAACCCGCAAGGGUGAGUACAGUGGCGCACGGGUGCGUAACACGUGGGUAAUCUGCCCAGAAGCCCGGAAUAACGCCCCGAAAGGGGUGCUAAUGCCGGAUGGGACCACGGGGACUUCGGUUCCUGGGGGAAAAGGUGGCCUCUGUAUACAAGCUAUCACUUCUGGAUGAGCCCGCGGCCCAUCAGCUAGUUGGCGGGGUAAUGGCCAACCAAGGCUACGACGGGUAGCUGGUCGAGGAGGAGGAUCGGCCCACCUGGACAUGAGACACGGUCCAGACUCCUACGGGAGGCAGCAGUGGGGAAUCUUGCGCAAUGGGCGAAAGCCUGACGCAGCAACGCCGCGUGUGUGAUGAAGGUCUUCGGAUCGUAAAGCACUGUCGGGAGGGACGAAUGAGGGCCGGGUGAACAAUCCGGUUCGACGACGGUACCUCCAGAGGAAGCACCGGCUAACUCUGUGCCAGCCGCCGCGGUAAGAC